CCCUUCGAUGUUCUGGGCUGCACGCGCGCUACAAUGGCAACGACAGAAAGCGAAAUUAGUUGUGGUUGCAUCGAGAGAUGCGACGAAUCAGCAAUCGUUGUCUUGAUUGGGAUUGAGCCUUGUAAUAUUUGCUCAUGAAAGAGGAAUUCCUCGUAAGCGCGAGUCACCAACUCGUGUUGAAUACGUCUCUGCCCUUUGUACACACCGCCCGUCGCUACUACCGAUUGGAUGGUUUAGUGAGACCCUCGGAUCGGUCCCGACUCGGGGUGGGCUUCUGCCCCGGUCGUGGUUUCGCCGAGAAGACGGUCAAACUUGACUAUCUAGAGGAAGUAAAAGUCGUAACA
rnacentral:rRNA from 1 species